CCCCAGGAGCUCACAAGCCAGACAGUGGGUGACAGGCUGAUCAGGGCCACAUCGGGGAGGGUGGCUCUGCCCUGGCCUCGUUCCUGGGCUGGCUGAUGGGCAGUCGGGGGCCCCUGAUGGGGAAAUGGCUGGACAGGCAGGAGUGCCGCAUGAGCACGGAGAGUGUCCCCACCCCCGCCCACCCAGAUCCAGCCCCCUGCUGCACACUGAUCUUAUCACCUGUCACCAAGGUCAGGGCUGCCAGGGAGUUGGGUCACCUGCUCCAGGGCCCCGCCCAGAGACGCCCAGAGACACCCAGUCCCCAGAAGUGCCCACAUCUCGCCAAAUGGAGGCUCACCAGCUGCCCAUGGAUGGAGUGAGAGGAGGCCCCCAGCCUCCAGGAGGCUCCAUCCCUCAGGCUCAGACCGGCAGCUCAGGAACCCAGCUAGCAGGACGAACUCCAGCAGAGAAACUCAGCGCCAUUGCUGCAGCUGUCGGCCAAAGGAGAAAGAGAAAGAGAAACCGCCUCGAGCCUGGUGGUGGGGAGACCUCUGGAUGGAGACAGCCCACAGCCCCGGAGCCCCAAGGCAGGCACCAGUGAUUCCCUCGUGACAGCCUCGCUCCCGGCAUCACAUGGAACCUUGUGACCCACGCGACAGCACCAGUGCCCCCGUGGCCCCUUCCUGUUGCUGGACGUGGUCUGUCACACGCCGCCUAUGCUUGCCCAGAGCAGGUCCCGGUCACCCCCUCUGGCACCGCCUGCUCCACACCAGGAACCCCCACCUCCAGCAAGCCCAUCUGCCGGACGCCUGGCCCAGGGCUGCCCCCUGCCCCUCCUGGUCCUGACUUCAGCCAGGUGACCCUCCCGGGUCCAGCCCAGGCCCCUGGGGGACUCAGUGGCAUCUGGUGGAAAGGACCUUGGGGAUCGCGCCCACCCUCACCUGCAGGAGAGUUGGCAGGGUGGCCAGCCACAGGAAGCCACAGGAGUAACACAGCCGGCAGUUUCCCUCCUGCCAGGAAAGCUCGAGAUUGAAACUCAGGAUGAACUGUUUUCAGCACUAGGGCACCAUGGAGCCAGAUCCCCAGCAGGGGGGGCAGGCAGGCUACAGCACCAGGGUCACCACAGCCCUGGGGUGGAGGCCCAUUCAGGAUGGUCGAGCAGGUGUGGGCGUCCAGGCAGGGUGGGCAGUCCUGGGGGCUGAGGAGGAGGUCAGGGCUCAGGGAGGCAUCUGCAGAGGGACCUGGCAGACAGAGCUCCGGAAAGGAGGGAACUGCACAGACAGAAAGCUCCAGAAGGCUGCCUGAAGGUCUCUGAGGCCUCUGGAGUCGGGCGCCAUGCAUGUAGAAGGUGGACUCUUCAGCGUGGGUGGGACCCUAGGGGGCUGUGGACCCUCGGCCCCCGGAACUCACAGAUGGGAGAGACAGGAGUUCCGACCGCCAAGGGGAGAGUCCUGGAGGAUCCUGGGCUGUCGGCAGCCACCCAGCAGGGCCCGUCCUGGGAGUGGGGCUGGACUCUUCCUGCAGGAAAGGCUGGGCUGGACCUGCUCUAAUAGGCUUCAGAACCAGCCACAUGAAGACCAAAGUGAACAGCAAGGAGCUGAACUCCACACCAGAACACAGCACAGCGUCCUUUAAAGGAAGGCCAAAACCAACCCAACAAAAAUGCCAGGUGAUCAAAGCCGUCACAGCAUAAUGCCCACAUCCAAUGAGAAAUUGCUGCUAUGCCCAGACGCAGGGAAAGGUGGCCGUGGGAAGGUGAGUCAGCAGCAACAGGCCCAGAAGGGCAGCCACGGUGGAAUUGUCAGACGUGGACCCUAAAAUGGCAAUCACGACGUGAUUUCAGGCAGGAGCCUGAAAUGGUACAACUUUGUACAUUGGUUUGGCAAAUUCUUUUAGAGAGAAACACACACCUUCCCUAGGACCCGGCAACUCCACUCCUAGUAACCAAGUGAAAUAGAAGGAGUUGUCCUCAGCAAAACGUGUGUGCGGAAGUUCACACUCACUUUCUCUGUGAUCACCAAGAGCUGGAAACCACUGCAACGCCCACCAGCAGGUGAACGGAUUAACACACUGGGCUAGGGCCACACAAUGAGAUGUUACGUGGCAACACAAAAUGAACCGUGGACACACACUGCAUGCCGGAUGAGCGUGCAGACAUCAGGCCAUGUGAAGGGAGCCAGGCCCCGAGGCGCCACACUUUGUGAUUCGAGUGAAAUUCUGGGACAGGCAGAUCUAACUUGCAGGGAGAGAGAGGUCAAGGAUGAUGGGGCCAGGGCUGGGGAGGGGUUGGGAAGGGGCUCAUGUUGCUGGGGUGUCAAAACAAAGCAAAGGGCCACAGACUUGGGGGCUCAAGAAAUGGAAACGCAAUGUUGUCAUGGUUCUGGGGGCUGGAAGUCCAAGACGCAGGGGCAGGUGGGGUUGGUUCCCUCCUGGGCCUGCAGAUGGUACCUGCUCCCUUUGUCCUCACAGGGUGGUCCCUCUGCCCCCAAGACCCAGCUGCCUCCUCCUCUUCCUGGCUGCAGGGAGUGCUUGUGUCUGAAGAACGCCAGGCUGGUGUCCCCAGAGGGUGGCUUGGAGGGGCUGGGAAACCACUUUCACUUUCUCUCUCCUCCACGUCUGCAUUGUUUGGGUUUGUACCCACCUGUGUCGCUUUUGCAUGGGAAGUGAGAUGGAGAGACAUGUGCACCACCAUUGCUGGGGUUCCAGCAUGGGGCCCCAGGAGACCCAUGGCUUUCCCAGAAGGGAGCUCUGCCAUUGGACAGCUGGUCUCAGGCUGCUGCACAGGUCUCUCCCCGCCCUCAGCCCUGGCCUGCAGGAAUCAGGAAAGGGUGGGGUCCAGCUGCAUUGCGAAUGGACUAAAGCCACUGAUUUGCACACUUGCCAAUGGCUGAAAUGGUCAAUAAAACAUCAUGUACCUUUUGCCACAGAGAAGAAAGCACGCAGCCAAACGGUGUAAAGAGGCUCAGAGGAGGCCGGGUGCCCUGGAGAGACCCUGGGUCCUGCUGCUCUUUCCGUGCCUGUGGAGACAGACUGCCCAGUCUCCUGCGGCAUUUCAGUGACACAUAGCAUCCCUGUCCUGCAGUGGAGGUUUCCCAGAUGAAGGGGUCCCCGGCGGGAGACAGGGCCCUGCACACAGGUCCUCUGCCACGCUGCUCACCAUGCCUCUGCGUUAUCUCACCAUGAAAAGUCACCUAGGCCGGGCAUGGUGGCUCACGCCUGUAAUCCCAGCACUUUGGGAGGCAGAGGUGUGCGCAGAUCACCUGAGAUCAGGAGUUUGAGACCAUCCUGACUAACAUGGUGAAACCCCAUCUCUAGGAAGAAUAUAAAAAUUAACUGGGCA